rnacentral:rRNA from 1 species
UACGUAGGGGGCAAGCGUUGUCCGGAAUCAUUGGGCGUAAAGAGCGUGUAGGCGGCCAGAUAAGUCCGCUGUGAAAACUCGAGGCUCAACUUCGAGCUGUCGGUGGAAACUAUUUGGCUAGAGUCCGGAAGAGGAGAGUGGAAUUCCUGGUGUAGCGGUGAAAUGCGCAGAUAUCAGGAGGAACACCCAUUGCGAAGGCAGCUCGCUGGGACGGUACUGACGCUGAGGCGCGAAAGCGUGGGGAGCGAACAGG